AUAAUAUUCUUACCAAUUUGUUUGUAUUGCAUUUCUUUUUUUUUUUUGACGUAUUUAGAAAAUGUCUUUGAUAUCCUUACCCUUGUUGAGUUCAGCCAACAGCUUAUCCUCUGGCUCGUAUUCCAAAGGCACCAAAGAGUUUGGUGUGAGUGGCUUGUCUCUC